UACGGAGGGGGCUAGCGUUGUUCGGAAUUACUGGGCGUAAAGCGCGCGUAGGCGGACCUGAAAGUCGGGGGUGAAAGCCCGAGGCUCAACCUCGGAACUGCCUUCGAUACUGCGGGUCUCGAGUCCGGGAGAGGUGAGUGGAAUUCCUAGUGUAGAGGUGAAAUUCGUAGAUAUUAGGAAGAACACCAGUGGCGAAGGCGGCUCACUGGCCCGGUACUGACGCUGAGGCGCGAAAGCGUGGGGAGCAAACAGG
rnacentral:rRNA from 1 species